UGCCAGCAGCCGCGGUAAUACGGAGGGUGCGAGCGUUAAUCGGAAUCACUGGGCGUAAAGCGCGCGUAGGCGGCGCGAUAAGUCAGGCGUGAAAGCCCUCGGCUCAACCGAGGAAUUGCGUUUGAUACUACUUUGCUAGAGUCUCGGAGAGGUUGGCGGAAUUCCAGGUGUAGGAGUGAAAUCCGUAGAUAUCUGGAGGAACACCAGUGGCGAAGGCGGCCAACUGGACGAGUACUGACACUGAGGUACGAAAGCGUGGGUAGCAAACAGGAUUAGAUA
rnacentral:rRNA from 1 species